rnacentral:lncRNA from 1 species
GUUAUGCGUUUACUUUACUACAUUGGUUAGAGGUAUAGGGGGAGGGUUGAGAUCUCACAAACAUGUUUAACCCCGCCGCAUUUUUGCGCUGUCCCAAGUCAGGAGCCUCUGGCCUUUGUUAGUCUUGUAUUAUUUUAAUUUUAGUUUCUUGUGUACAAUUUGGAAAUUAGUAUGGCGUUCAUUAUCACUGGACUAGUAUAUAUUUGUUUAGGGGCCAGCUGAAGGACGCCUCCGGGUGCGGGAAUUUCUCGCUACAUUGAAGACCUGUUGGUGACCCUCUGCUGUUGUUUUUUAUUUGGUCGGGUUGUUGUCUCUUUGACACAUUCCCCAUUUCCAUUCUCAAUUUUAUUAUGAU